rnacentral:rRNA from 1 species
UACAGAGGGUGCAAGCGUUGUUCGGAAUUACUGGGCGUAAAGCGCGUGUAGGCGGUGACGUAAGUCGGAUGUGAAAUCCCUUGGCUCAACCAAGGAAGUGCACCCGAUACUGCGUUGCUUGAGUGCCGGAGGGGAUGGCGGAAUUCCCGGUGUAGAGGUGAAAUUCGUAGAUAUCGGGAGGAACACCUGUGGCGAAGGCGGCCAUCUGGACGGUGACUGACGCUGAGACGCGAAAGCGUGGGUAGCAAACAGG